rnacentral:rRNA from 1 species
GUGAGGAAUAUUGGUCAAUGGACGAGAGUCUGAACCAGUCAAGUCGCGUGAAGGAAGACGGUUCUAUGAAUUGUAAACUUCUUUUGUGCAGGAAUAAAGUGGGUUACGUGUAACCUUUUGUAUGUACUGUACGAAUAAGGAUCGGCUAACUCCGUGCCAGCAGCCGCGGUAAUACGGAGGAUCCGAGCGUUAUCCGGAUUUAUUGGGUUUAAAGGGUGCGUAGGUGGAUUGAUAAGUCAGCGGUGAAAGUUUGCAGCUUAACUGUAAAAUUGCCGUUGAAACUGUCGGUCUUGAGUGCAAAUGAGGUAGGCGGAAUGUGUUGUGUAGCGGUGAAAUGCUUAGAUAUAACACAGAACUCCGAUUGCGAAGGCAGCUUACUGGGAUGCAACUGACACUGAUGCACGAAAGCGUGGGUAUCAAACAGGAUUAGAAACCCCAGUAGUCC